rnacentral:rRNA from 1 species
ACGGGGGGAGCAAGCGUUGUUCGGAUUUACUGGGCGUAAAGGGCGCGUAGGCGGCCACCGCAAGUCGACUGUGAAAUCUCCGGGCUUAACUCGGAACGGUCAGCUGAUACUGCUUUGCUAGAGUGCGGAAGGGGCAAUCGGAAUUCUCGGUGUAGCGGUGAAAUGCGUAGAUAUCGAGAGGAACACCUGAGGUGAAGACGGGUUGCUGGGCCGACACUGACGCUGAGGCGCGAAAGCCAGGGUAGCAAACGGGA